UGGCCCAUGGGGGGUUCGAACCCAUGACCUUCGCGUUAUUAGCCUGACACUCUAACCAACUGAGCUAAUGGGCC